AUUGAACGCUGGCGGCAUGCUUUACACAUGCAAGUCGAACGGUAACAGGCCGCAAGGUGCUGACGAGUGGCGCACGGGUGAGUAAUGCAUCGGAACGUGCCCAGUCGUGGGGGAUAACUACUCGAAAGAGUAGCUAAUACCGCAUACGAUCUAUGGAUGAAAGCGGGGGACCGUAAGGCCCCGCGCGAUUGGAGCGGCCGAUGUCAGAUUAGGUAGUUGGUGGGGUAAAGGCUCACCAAGCCAACGAUCUGUAGCUGGUCUGAGAGGACAACCAGCCACACUGGGACUGAGACACGGCCCAGACUCCUACGGGAGGCAGCAGUGGGGAAUUUUGGACAAUGGGCGCAAGCCUGAUCCAGCAAUGCCGCGUGCAGGAAGAAGGCCUUCGGGUUGUAAACUGCUUUUGUACGGAACGAAACGGCUCUGGUUAAGACCCGGGGCUAAUGACGGUACCGGAAGAAUAAGCACCGGCUAACUACGU
rnacentral:rRNA from 1 species